UUAAAGAAUGGCUAUCGUACCAUUGAAAGAAAGUGUUGUGCUAGUGUUCUCGUCUGCUUUUGUGAGAGCGUCAGUCAUCUUCCCAUGUGCUUCUACCUUCUUUUAACUUUUAAUGUAGUUCAGCUUAUGCAAUAAUAUUGUGUUCCACUUGUUUGUUUGUGAUGCAUUUUUUAUGCUUUACAUUGGUUGAAAUAUUUGUGAUGAUGCCCCCAAGUGUGUGAAGUUACACAAAGUGCAAAGGUUAAGACUACCUGGUUAAUAGUCACCCCAUCUUUAAAUCUCUCUCUCUCUCUCUCUCUCUCUCUCUAAGUGUCCUGUAAAACUUUACUCUGGAUCUGCUGUGUUCUUAAGGAACUGUUGCUCUUCUUGAUCUUCCAAACUGGUUGGUUUUCAUUUUUAGUUUUGCCUUUCCUUUUUAACCUUUUCUUGGUGCAUGUAUGAACAAAUGCGGGAGAUUGAGGUUGGGGCCCAUGGAUUGGCAAAUGGGGUGUGAACAAAGUGAUCUUGAAAAGAUUGUGCAGGUUUCCAAAAUGGCGGAUCUUGACCAAGUCUACAUUGCCAUUCCAAUGGACCCGUCAUAUUGGUUUUUGGAGUCUUGAAGGCGUGACUUUCCCUCAUGUUCUAAGUAAGCUGCUUCCUAGAUGAAAUUCUCUGGUAACAAAGUGCUACAUGGAGCACCAUAUUUGCUUGCCUGUUCUCUUCUUUGUGUAAGGUGAAUUAUCUUCUGGUGCUCAAAUUGCCAUUGCCCUAUCAUGUGCUGUUAUUCAGCAUGCUGCUACUGGUGCUAUUCAUUUUCUGCAUCAGAAGAUGACACAUAUCUAUGCCUUUGGUUUAACUCAAGAGCUGAUGGCGCUUGCCAUUAAGAGAACCGAGGAAGAAAUCGCUGAUGCUCCUUGAAAUGGAAAGCCAACAUGCCAAAUGAUUGCCCUCACCUUUCAGUCCUAACUAUCAGAAUUCUUGAAAAGUGGAGCAAUGAAGAUUAAUCAUGUCCUCUCCUCAAAAGGGAGUCUGCCAGAUUCAAUUAUAUAACAGGCCUAAAAGUGAUGCAAGUGGCUUCGCUGUUUUAGGAAGAUGAAUUGCAGCUGUUCAACUUUUGAGCAAUUUGCGAGUAAAUGGAGUCAUGAAAUGUCAAAUUGCUUACAAGAUGCACUGCACCUUAGUCUCACGCCAAUGAUCACUCCACAUAGUUCACCGUACCAUGCAUACUGUGAUUUUUGGCACUAUAGGAGAAAAUUUGAAAUGACUCAUACCUGAUGAAUCAAGUGGUUGCAAAUGAUGUAUUUUCAUUUUCCAAGUGGUCCUGAAAUGAUUGAAGAUAAGCUUUGACACCUA